ensembl:lncRNA
UUUAUUUAUUUUAUUUUUUUUUUAAGAAAAACAAAAAGGUCAGGGGUCUGCACUAUAUUUGGCCAUAUAUUGUGUAUUUGGAGUAUGAUCCUGCCGAUGAAUACAUUUUUAACAGAGUAAGAUGUGAAAAAAAUAAUGGAGUCUCGCGGUCUGGGAAUCGAACCCCGUCUUCCGCGCGGGAAACCAGGCAGAGGUACUGUCUACUACACUAACAAGGAACCACCGGCAAAUACAACGCCGACAGUGAAGUUAAUAUGAUGUUCGGUUGAGUUUUAUUUGCACAGCUGAAGCCGUUUAGUCCCAGUGACUAUAUUCACAUCAGUGGGGUCAGAAUUCAAAAAUAAAAUCGUUAAGGAACCAGAACUAUAUUAUAGAGCUACUAAACACUGCCGAAGAAAAGGUGAUAUAAACUACACCCACAUGUCAAAACAAAUCAGCCAGUGGAGUACCCUCCCUAUGACACGUAACACAAUAUAUUAGAAUCACUCUCUUUUCGAACAUAAAUAACAGCCCCACCUCGCGGCGGAGCUUCCAAAAAUUGUUCAUCCAUACAUUAUACCGCUUAUCCUACGUAAUUCAAUGCCGAACUUUACGGAGGGAAGAGCAGAGCCUCACAGGAAAUAUAUUUCCACUCGAUGGUAAGUGAACAAUUAUGACGGUUUAUAGUUACAAACCGUAUAACAUGACAAAAAGUAUCUAUUGC